rnacentral:rRNA from 1 species
UAGUAACGGCGAGUGAAGCGGCAACAGCUCAAAUUUGAAAUCUGGCUCCUUUGGAGUCCGAGUUGUAAUUUGUAGAGGGCGCUUUGGCAAAGGCUAUGGCCUAAGUUCCUUGGAACAGGACGUCACAGAGGGUGAGAACCCCGUACGUGGUCGCUAGUCUGAGCCGUGUAAAGCCCCUUCGACGAGUCGAGUUGUUUGGGAAUGCAGCUCUAAAUGGGAGGUAAAUUUCUUCUAAAGCUAAAUAUUGGCCAGAGACCGAUAGCGCACAAGUAGAGUGAUCGAAAGAUGAAAAGCACUUUGGAAAGAGAGUCAAAAAGCACGUGAAAUUGUUGAAAGGGAAGCGCUUGCAGUCAGAUCUGUGGUAAGUGUAUGGUAGGGCUUUUGCCCUGCCUUCCUCUCACCACGGGCCAGCAUCAGUUUAGGCGGCUGGAUAAAGAUCAGGGGAAUGUAGCUCUCUUCGGGGAGUGUUAUAGCCCUUGGUGUCAUGCAGCCAGCUUGGACUGAGGUUCGCGCAUCUGCUAGGAUGCUGGCAUAAUGGCUGUAAGCGGCCCGUCUUGAAACACGGACCAAGGAGUCUAACAUCUAUGCGAGUGUUUGGGUGUCAAGCCCGGGCGCGUAAUGAAAGUGAACGGAGGUGGGAACCCUCCGGGGUGCACCAUCGACCGAUCCUGAUGUCUUCGGAUGGAUUUGAGUAAGAGCAUAGCUGUUGGGACCCGAAAGAUGGUGAACUAUGCCUGAAUAGGGUGAAGCCAGAGGAAACUCUGGUGGAGGCUCGCAGCGGUUCUGACGUGCAAAUCGAUCGUCAAAUUUGGGCA